rnacentral:rRNA from 1 species
GUUGAAUUGAAGUGCUUGCACUGAUUUUUAACAUCGCCUGAGUGGCGAACUGGUGAGUAACACGUGGGUAACCUGCCAGAAGCGGGGGAUAACACUUGGAAACAGGUGCUAAUACCGCAUAACAACAGAAACCGCAUGGUUUCUGUUUGAAAGAUGGUUUCGGCUAUCACUUCUGGAUGGACCCGCGGCGUAUUAGCUAGUUGGUGGAGUAAUGGUUCACCAAGGCAAUGAUACGUAGCCGACCUGAGAGGGUAAUCGGCCACAUUGGGACUGAGACACGGCCCAAACUCCUACGGGAGGCAGCAGUAGGGAAUCUUCCACAAUGGACGAAAGUCUGAUGGAGCAACGCCGCGUGAGUGAAGAAGGGUUUCGGCUCGUAAAACUCUGUUGUUGAAGAAGAACACACCUGAGAGUAACUGUUCAGGUGUUGACGGUAUUUAACCAGAAAGCCACGGCUAACUACGUGCCAGCAGCCGCGGUAAUACGUAGGUGGCAAGCGUUGUCCGGAUUUAUUGGGCGUAAAGCGAGCGCAGGCGGUUUCUUAAGUCUGAUGUGAAAGCCUUCGGCUUAACCGGAGAAGUGCAUCGGAAACUGGGGGACUUGAGUGCAGAAGAGGACAGUGGAACUCCAUGUGUAGCGGUGAAAUGCGUAGAUAUAUGGAAGAACACCAGUGGCGAAGGCGGCUGUCUGGUCUGUAACUGACGCUGAGGCUCGAAAGCAUGGGUAGCGAACAGGAUUAGAUACCCUGGUAGUCCAUGCCGUAAACGAUGAAUGCUAGGUGUUGGAGGGUUUCCGCCCUUCAGUGCCGCAGCUAACGCAUUAA